rnacentral:rRNA from 1 species
AUUGAACGCUGGCGGCAGGCCUAACACAUGCAAGUCGAGCGGAGCGGCGGACGGGUGAGUAAUGCAUAGGAAUCUGCCUGGAAGAGGGGGCUAACGUCCGGAAACGGGCGCUAACACCGCAUACUAUCAGAUGAGCCUAGGUCGGAUGAGCUAGUUGGUGGGGUAAAGGCCUACCAAGGCUACGAUCCGUAACUGGUCUGCGCGGAUGAUCAGUCACACUGGAACUGAGACACGUUCCAGACUCCUACGGGAGGCAUCAGGGGGGAAUAUUGGACAAUGGGCGAAAGCCUGAUCCAGCCAUGCCGCGUGUGUGAAGAAGGUCUUCGGAUUGUAAAGCACUUUAAGUUGGGAGGCGUUACCAACAGAAUAAGCACCGGCUAACUUCGUGCCAGCAGCCGCGGUAAUUC